rnacentral:rRNA from 1 species
UAAGUUUCAACAACGGAUCUCUUGGCUCUCGCAUCGAUGAAGAACGCAGCGAAAUGCGAUAAGUAAUGUGAAUUCGCAGAAUUUCAGUGAAUCAUCGAAUCUUUGAACGCACCUUGCGCUCCUUGGUAUUCCUUGGAGCAUGCCUGUUUGAGUAUCAUGA